rnacentral:rRNA from 1 species
UACGUAGGGUGCAAGCGUUAAUCGGAAUUACUGGGCGUAAAGCGUGCGCAGGCGGCUUUGCAAGACAGAUGUGAAAUCCCCGGGCUUAACCUGGGAACUGCAUUUGUGACUGCAUAGCUAGAGUACGGUAGAGGGGGAUGGAAUUCCGCGUGUAGCAGUGAAAUGCGUAGAUAUCGGGAGGAACACCAGUGGCGAAGGCGACUACCUGGCCUGUUCUUGACGCUGAGGCGCGAAAGCUAGGGGAGCAAACGGG